CAGCCCCCCCCCCCCACACACACACACACAAACAAAGAGGCGUUAGGCUGAGUCGCUGAAAGUCCGGAUUUAAAGUGCAGAAAAUUAAGCCAUUGAAUCUGCCUGUCCAUGACGUACAAAGACACACUAUGAGCCAGUAUGAUCCGACCAGACCUUACAUCAGCAUUGAGGAGUUGUCGGAGAAGAAAGAGGCUGAUUGAAGCGGGACAGAUGACAUGGAUCCAUCCUUCCACAGCCAGGAGUGCACCGACCUGUGUCCCACACUUCAUAUAAGACUGGAAGCUACACUGAUCUCACAGCUACACACCACAGACGUCUACACACUGGAGAAGAGUCCCACAAAGAAGUCAUGACCCAGAGGCUGCAGAGAAACAUUUCAAGCCUCAUCUGAGUUUUUGUACAAUAUUUUUGCUGUAUGUAAAUAAAGCUUUCACUCCACA